UUUAUUAAUAAAUAGAUGAAAACCCAAGCCUACUUCAUUGGGUCCAACACCGGCUACAACUAAAAUAUGAAAUAAAGAAUAAAAACAAAAAACAAAAAAAACAAAAGUCCACCCAAAUCCGAACUGUUGUGCUCAAGAAGCUUCUAGGCCACCCAUCCCAACUUUAGUCGGUUAUAGUUCUUGCCUUUUCUGAUCUCUCAUCUUCUCCAUCGUCUCCAUCCGAUUUGAAACCAAUUCUCUAAAAGCAGCUCAGUUCAGCGAUCUUAUCCAUCUCCGGUCAUUUUCCAGUGAAACCGCGACAUAUUCGAGCACUCCUCUUCUCAGGUAAAUAUGUUCCCCUCUCUUUAAUCCUUCUGUAGCUACUGCAUGUGCCACCAUGUUUGCCAUUCUCGGGGUGUGUUUAAACCAGCAUAUCUGAAAACCCUUUUCAACUGUUAUAUACCCUUUAUGGAUUCACAUAUUUCUGAUUUGUCCACCCCAUUACUUUGACUCUUAUUGAUUACUGAAAAUGAAUCACCUUCAACCUCCACCGUUGAUAGAUAUAUUUCCAAACCCAUUUGAACCACCUGAGCCCAUGCGAGAGCUUCCGCCGCAAACGCGGAUGGUACGUUCCUGUUUAGCACCGUUUUAGAUCCUAGAACCCCUCCAUUUGAAUCCCUUAUCAUAAUCCUUGAACAAGAUGUGUUUUCUUGUUUGUUAAAGGCAACAUCGAAAUUAAUUUUGAGAUUUGACACCUCUAGUAAUCUCCAUCGCUCAAUCUCCUGUCCUCUGCUAGGUAACUUUUCCCUAUCCUAUCCAGUUCUCGUAUAUAGCUCGUAAUGAAAUAUGCUAUUAUUCAUCAUUGUGUUCGUUUUCCUUCAUGCAGCAACUUAUUUCUUUCUGUCCAAAUUACCAACAACGUACAGCAAAAGAGGCGACAUUGAUUAGAUGAAUUGUUUUAAAAAAUCUAGGUUAGCUACUCUAUGCACUUUGAAUUUGUUACCAAUGGUGGCCAAGCAAAAUCCAAUUUCUGCCGAAUUUCCUUUGUUACAGCGCAAUCACGAAAUACAUACUUUGUAUUCUCCACUUCACCUGGCACAUUAUGGUUCCAAGUAAUCUCUUAUAAUGUAGGCUAUUCAGAGUAGGCAGAAAAUUCAUGGAAAUUCUCCAGAUUGUAAUUUUUAGUUUAGGGACGAGAUCUAAAUUCCAAUUUUUUUUAUCACACCCGAUUUUCUUUAAGCCCAAAAAUUAGGAAUAAUUGGGGGUUAAAUUGAAAGAAGCUGUAAUUUGGCAGCCUUUACUAAAACAAUAGUGACUGAUUUAGACAUGGUUGAGGUCCAAUUCUAGUUCGGUUGGAUUAAAGCCAACUAAUUCCUUAGUGGGAGACGAAAUAAUUAUUAAUGGAGGGUUUUUAUACGAUUGAAGACCAUGCGUGAAUGGCUAAAAAUAGCUAAAAAAUGAUUUCCUAGGGUUAACUCUUCUCAAAUUUGCUUAUUUUUUUUUCUUCUUCAUCUUCUUCUUGGGUUUUUCCCAAAGAAGAGGUAGUUAUAGGAAGUUCUGCAUGGAGCGGUGAUCAUAAGGUUUGGGUUGAAAGUUAGAGAAUCUAGUAAGCUAGUAAGGUUCAUAGUCCUUUGGUAUACAUAGGAUUUAGAAAAUGAAGUUAAGGAUUUUCAGAAAACUUUUGAGGGGUUUUGUAUGUUUCUGAAAAACUGAGUUUUAAGUUAAAAAUACUAAGUUUAACUCAUGAGUUUGGCCAUAAUGCUUAGUUUCCAAGAGAAUGGAAGAUCUAGCAUUCAAAAAAGCUAAGCAUAGGAAGCAAAGAAACAUCAGGUGAGUUUCUAUACUCCAUUUCUGGGAUGUUGUAUAACUAGCCUUAACUGUUGUUGAGUUCUGUGACAAUGUAUUAUCACUAUUGUUUGAGAAUGCUUUGUAUGCAUAAAGUUAGGUAGGUAUAUAAGUAUGCAUAAAUAAGUUGGCAUACGUGAAAUGGUAUGAUUCCAUGUUUUAAAAGGAUAGCAUACUCCAUGAUAGUAUGUAAAUGAAAUGCAUGUAUUGCAUGUUUAAAACAGUGGGGUACAGAGGGGAGAUUAUUCACGGGUUAUAUGAAGCUACGAUUUGGCAAAUGGUGUUUCUUUAUUUCGCCAUCUGGUGUUGCCAAGUGCAAACAACGUGCGAAGCUCCAAGCCUUGCGAAGAGGACACUGCCGUGUUCGAGCAUCAAUGUUGGAAAGGAAGAAAUGGAGGCAUGGGCGGAUACUUAAGGAAAUGAAAUUUUUAUUAGAUUUUGCAAUCCGAUAUUGUUGAGAGAAAAUCGUGAUGUGUGAAGCUUGAGGCCUUGUAGAAGGGACACUUCGGUGUUCGAACAUUAAGGUUAAAAAUGAAAUGAUAUUGACUAGCUCGUUAAAGCGGUGCCAUGAAGAAAAUUAUUAGGUUUCACAGAACAUCGCAAUGACGAUUAGCAGGCUUUAUGCGGUGACAUUGCGACGACAGUAAGUUCCUUCUAGGAAACACCUCAAAGAAGUUUAAAGUGUAAGACCAUGGCUUGGCUAUGGUGACCAAUGGAGCCCGCCAAGAAAUUAAACAUGGGGUAUGUUGUGUAAGACCAUAGCUUGACUUUAGAAGCAUAGAGAGUUUGCCGAGAUUAAAUAUGGGGCAGUCCAUCAGGACAUUAAACAUAGGACCUAAUGAGUAAAACUAUAGCUUAGCUACGGCAACAUAUAGAGUUCGUCGGGACAUUAAACGCAAGGUAGUCUGCCAAGAUGAUGAUCUUGUAAAAUCACGUAAACGAGAAAAAAAUACAAGUGUUGAUAAGCGAUAGUUAGCCAACGGAACUGAGGAAUCUGCCAAGAAGGGUUAAAUGUAACAAAAAUGGGCAAAGUUUACCAAAGAUAUGUACAGGAAAGCUGGUAGGGUGUAGGUUGGUAACCCAACUAAAAUCAGUUAUGUAGAUGACGUGUCAAUAAAUAGGGGCUAAUUAGAACCCAUUGUCAAAUAUUUAGGCAAAUGACGUGUCAAUAAUGCCUAAUAUAUAGGCAAAUGAAAGAGGAUUUUAUCUGCGAACCAUAUUUAGAACCCCUAGAAGGGGCCCAAUGGAACUCUGUAUGUUAGGAGUUUGAUUAUAAGUACUAUGGAUAGUUUAUCGGUAAAUAGGGGCUAAUUCGAACCUAUUGUCAGGAAGAGGUACCAAAAAGGUUAAUCCAAGUGAAAGAUAUAUUUGUCAAGACUAUUCUUCUUUGAGGGAAAUUCUAGUGUGACAGUAUCCACUAUGGUGCUAGUUCCAUAAGAAAGCAUUGUAUAAGGAAGAAUAUGAACUCGAAUGGUCAAUAGUUUACUAGAAACGAUAUGCUGAAAUGAUCCAAUGUAGAUAGAUUUGAUGCGCUUUAAAAGUAAGGUGUCCCAAUUAGGGUUGUUUACAAGUAGGUAACCCAAACAACAUUUCAACCCAAGUGUAGGAUAGAAGUAGGAAAGGAUGAAAUACGAUUAAGUUCGUUAGUGUGGCGUGGGCCUUUUCUAGUUGGUCUUAUAAGUAGAAUGUCAGCUUACCCGCUAGUACUAUGGUGUUUUUACUAGUCAUGAUAAAACCAAAGAGGAUAUUCAUGAUAGGAAGUGUGAGGAAAAAGGGGAAUAGAAGGUGAUAUGUGCAAGGAAAAGUGAAAACCUGCAAGGAUGAUAAUUCAUCUGGAUUCCACCAAAUUAGUUGAAUGGUCAUACUAUGACUAGGAAAUGGUUGCUCAACAAUCAAUUCGCCAUCAAAGAAAGAUGAAAGUCAAAUAUGUGUCCGACACUUCAGAUAAAGUAGGAAAGUCUAAACAAAAUAGGGAGUAGUGUGUUUGGGUCUUUUCUAUUUAAAACAUCAGCAUGAUGAGACUUAGUUAUAUAUAUGUGCAAAGAAACUCGCUAAGUCAUUUGCACUUAUAGAAUAUAUGGCUUAUGUUGCAGGAUUCGAGGGAUAAGAAACUCGAAGGGGGAUUAAGCCAGACCUUGUUGGAGCAAGUAACACCGUUAGUUAGGAGUCAUGAACAUAAUGGAGGUACCUUUAGAGGUUUCGCCUCGAGGUCAAGUAUAUUGUAAAUAAAUAGUUUUCUUAGAGUUUGAAAUUGGAGAUAGUUUUUAUUUUAAUUUAAGGCUUCUGUUGUAAAAAAUAUUUAUUGCUACUUAAUAGAGUCUAUUUUUAAAACUAUUAAAUUUAAAAUUUGUUUUUAGUCUAAUUCGGUCCAUUUGUGGCACCCCGUACUCAGAUUCGAUGAUCGGGUCGAGUGAGAAUGUUACAAAUUUAAUGGUAUCAGAACAUGGUUUAGUCGGUUCCUAGAUAUAGGAAUUGAAAAAGUACCCUUUAUGUUCAUUAUGUUCAAUUUGGCUAGGUCAUCGAGUUCUUACUUUUAUUAAGUUAUUAUAUGUUGUAUGUAGAAGUAUGCGCCUAAAUUGACGAAUCGAAACAAAUGUAGAAGCAAAGGAUAAGUAAAGUGAUUGAAAAUACAAGUGAUGAAGAAAAGAAAUUUCAUUAAAGAAAAUAUGCAAAGGAAAUUAAGAAUUUUUAUUUGCUAGGUAUGUUGUCACCUCAACAGUGUCUUUACUUCCUUUUGGCUAAGUCUUUCGAAAAGAGUAGAAAUGAUCACGCUUGAUUUUUGAAAAUGAGAGUUGUUAGAUUCCUUCUGUCCCCUCUGGCAAUCCUCUCAUUGGAACUAGAGGAGUGGGAGUGUUGAAUUCAAGGACAAAACAGGCAUGUUUGCAUAUAUAAGUGGAGUUGUGAGAUUUGCAUCAGGAAGACACUUGUGUCAGGUUUGAAUGGGGAUUAAACGAGAAAGAUGAGGAGGAAGAUACACUUGGAUGCCGGACUUGGUAUACUCAGUAUACUCCAUAAGGAUUUAGAAUAACCCAUUUUGCAACCUCACCAUUUCAUCAAGAUGAAGCUUUCAAAGGCUAGUACCAUUUUCUAACCCUUUUUUAUAACCUUUAAAGGUUGAAUUUAGACCUUCAUGUGGAGAGAGAUGUAAACAUGUAACUUUGGUAGAUGAAUUUCUAUGAAUCUAAGGAGCUGUAUUACAACAUUGUUUGCUAGAAUAGGUGAUCCUCUUGAAAUCAACCUAUUUGGCUUCACUUCCAGUUUAAAAGGAGGUCAAUGAUUUUCCUCACCCUGUUAAUAAUUGAAAGGAAUCACCAAGUUGUUAAAGAAGGGUGGCAAACUCUUGACAAGGAAAAGAAAGGGAAGUGAAUGGUACUGUCGUGGUCUCCUAAUGAUGUUACAGUAGGAGUCGUUAUGAGAAGAAUCCAAGAAAGGAAUAGGGAUUUCGUGAAAAAAGACUUCCAUUUCUUGAGGCAAAUUCAUGCCAUGUCCUUGCUUAAUCAUAGGCAAAAGAGAUACAUAUUUUCCUGCGUUAAGCCAUCCUCUCCAAGAUAAGAAAAGGCUCAUCGCAUCCAAGGGAAAGGUACUGUAAGAGAUGAGAGGGUUAGUAGUAAAGAGAGAUGCACAAAAAGGGGUUCUGAGGUAGUCAUUUGCAUUGCCUAGUCGAUACUCCUCUCGAACUAGCCCGAAAGAAAAAUUAAGGUAGGGUAACUUGAUUCCUUGAAUGGUUAGGUGAUUUACCAUAUCGUGUUUGGUGAAAAUGCUCAUGUAAUUUAAAGGUCCUCACCCUUCUUAUGUUGUUUAUUUAAUUUUACUCAGCGAAUAUGAAGACAGGGAUAGAGAAAGUUCAUUAUCAAAAUUUCGGUGACAAGAAUACUAGAGAACAACACCCAAUAUUGUAAUUAGAUGAGAAAAAGAAAGAUAGGAAGAAGAAAAGUGGGAUAAUAAGUGGGUAGGCCAAGCCAAAUGUCUAUAGACUUAUGAACUUCCCUCUCAAUGUUCUGGUUUAUUUGUAACCAAAAGCGUGUAUUAAAAGUUAUGGAAAAUUUAAUGAAUGGUAAGGAACCGUUCAAGUCCAUCAAUGCAUGCAGGACACCUAUUGGCAUCAGGAGAAGGAAGAAUCUUUUAGUAUUCCCAGGGCGGGGAUAGUUGCCAACUGUUACCCAUUAGGGUGUAGCCUUCAGAAAAGUAGAGAUAGUCUUAGGUUCGUUCAAUGACAGCCCUUUUCGAAUAGAGAGGAUAAGCUUUUGUUACUUUUUGAUUAGAACUUUGAAAGUAGAGUGGUAGCUUUGGUACACGACCAAGGUAGUAGAGAAAGUAUAUCUUGGACAAGCUUAGUUACCCUAUGAUUAGAAGGAAUUAACCCAUUAACUGGUAAGGUUAGCAUACAAAAAGAUUUAGGAAUUUUGGAUUUCCCACUAGAAUUAAAAUCAAAGAGAUGUUAGCCAGGAGAUGUUCACCUUAGAGCGUCCACCAAAUUAAGAUUUGCAAAAAUAAUUUCUGGAUUGGAGUGUAUCUAGUAAUGGAAAGAUUAGAUACCUGACAAUGAGUUGAUAUCCAUAUUUCGUAAAGUGUUGAAGGAUCCACAAAAUAGGCAGAGCAAGUGUAAAGCGAAUGUAUGAAAGGGUAACCAAGUUGAAGGUUUUUAUAGAAAUGAAAAGUGAUUACUUUUGUGAACCAUAUAAGAGUAGAAAUGGGGAAAUAGUUUCUCUGAGUCCGCUUCUGAGGCUGAUCGGGAAAGGAAUUUGCAAGGAUAAAUUUCUUUUAGGGUGGGAGAGUUGUCUAACCCAAUUUUCUUUAAAUCUGGUGAUAAUUGAAAAACUUAUAUAAUUUAAUUACAUAUUUAUUUUGAGUACAAUCCUACUAAUUUAGAUUGUUUAUGGUUUUUUAUCUUGUAGGGACUAAAUUAAGGCAAAAGGAAAUUUAAGGGCAAAAAGUGUGAAUUUAAAGACAAAAUAGGUCAGCAUGCAAAAUAGGGAAGAAGUGGUGCAGUGAAUACAAAGUGUGGAAGACUUGGGGAAAAUUUUCAAAGAAAAGAUUUAUGGACAUAAAAAUUUGUUUAAAUUUGAAUUUGAAUUUUAAGAUUAUUGUUAGGAUUAUUAUUAUAUUCUUCAGAUUUAAUUUCAAUUUAUCUCUUAAACAUUGUCAUCUAAAGUUUGAAUAGGAACCAACUAAGGUCUUUCAUGUACUAUAAAUAGGGGAUGAAGUGACAUAAAUACUCACUCAUCACUUUUGUAAAAAAACUCCUUCCCCUUAAGACUCUUAGCCUUUUGUUUCUUUUCUUUUUCAAUAAAAUUUCGUUUCAUCAAACUUGUGUUUUUAUUCCCAAAAAUAAUGAGUAACUAAAUUAGUCUAGCCAAAGGUUAUCAAGAUUCUUCAAAAAGAGUGCAUUACGCUUAGAACUCGUACUUAACCCUUCUCAACGAGUAUUCAUCAUUUUUUCGCAUUACGAGACUGACGCUGUCGUCCAUGUCUUUUCAAAAGUAAUCUUUUCAUCUUGUGCAAAGGUGGUCUUUUUGCAUGUUUUGGGAAGGUUGCACAAUCGAUUUGCAC
rnacentral:lncRNA from 1 species